AACAGUUAAGUUGAUAUUAACUGCUUGGCAUCAGUUUGCUGUCUCCAGGUUCUCCAUUCCCCUGAUGAACACUUCCAUCCCAGCCUGGAGAAUUCUGGCCGUGCUGGAAACCUGUAGGAACCCAGACGUCUCUGGCCAUCCUUCGAUCCUGCCUAGUCCUUCAUGCCAGUGGAAGACCUUAGGGAUUAAACUCAGGAUCUCCUGCUUGCCUGGCAGGCCCUGUGCCGCUGAGCUACAUCCCCGGCCCUACCCAGGUUUGGAUCCUUGUGGUGUUGUCUAGUCUAUCACUGGAGGGAAGUGACAUAAUGCCUCUAGUUCUUCAUCUGUCAGCCUGCACAGACUGGGUUUGAGGAGGAGAAUGGAGACUGCUGUGGCCCUUUGUGCUUUAUCUGACCCACUCCCAACUGGAAUUGCACACCAGCUGAGGCACUGGGACCCCAGCACUGGCACUGAGCCAGACAGGGACUUGUGCUCUAUGGGAAAUACUGUUCUGGGUCAGCAUUUUGCUUCUGCCCAGGCUGUGUGGCCAGCCAGGGUCUUCCUGAAUCCGUUUCCUCUGUAGAUGGGUCCACUGCAGUUAUGGGAGCCCCACACAAGAAGUUCUGAGGGUGCCUGGGCUCUGGAGGGGUGUUCUGUGAGGGUGGCUGCAGUGGCACUUUCUCCUGCAGGUCCACGCCGGGCUUGUGCAUCACAAGCAUCGUUAGGAGGUGUUCUCUGCCAACUCUCUGAUGUGGACCUUUCUUAGCCGGGCCUCAGUUUCUCCAUGUCGUCAGCCAUUGCAUCAGUCACAGUGACCUUUUCAAACAUCCUGAGCUCGUGAGUAGUCUGAGGGCAUGGUGUCAGGUCCCAAACCUGUCCUGAGUGAGUUGUCUUUGAGGAGCCCCUGCUUUCCCAGGCAGAAGGGGACAGAAAGUGACGUGGAGGUUGGGUCGAGGCUUGACCUGCUGCCUGGCUGCUCCUCCAGUCACGGAGCAGUUAAAUGUGGAUGACUUCUCUUGGAAGUGGGGAUGAAGCCUGACCCGGAAAAGCCUACCUGCUUGGAGCCCCGAAGGUGGAGCCUUUUCCUGAAGGCCCCCAAAGCCUGGGUGUCUCCUGGGGUCGUCCUCCUGCACACCCUGCUGGGGUCUGGGAUGGGAAGGAGGGCG
rnacentral:lncRNA from 1 species